AUUGAACGCUGGCGGCAGGCCUAACACAUGCAAGUCGAGCGAGCGGCGGACGGGUGAGUAAUGUCUGGGAAACUGCCUGAUGGAGGGGGAUAACUACUGGAAACGGUAGCUAAUACCGCAUACCAUCAGAUGUGCCCAGAUGGGAUUAGCUGGUGGGUGGGGUAAUGGCUCACCUAGGCGACGAUCCCUAGCUGGUCUGAGAGGAUGACCAGCCACUCGGGAACUGAGACACGCCCCAGACCCCUACGGGAGGCAGCGGGGGGGAAUUUUGCACAAGGGGCGCAAGCCUGAUGCAGCCGUGCCGCGUGUAUGAAGAGGGCCUUCGGGUUGUAAAGUACUUUCAGCGGGGAGGCGUUACCCGCAGAAGAAGCACCGGCUAACUCCGUGCCAGCAGCCGCGGUAAUC
rnacentral:rRNA from 1 species